AGGCGAUGAAGGGCGUGCUAAUCUGCGAUAAGCGCCGGUAAGGUGAUAUGAACCGUUAUAACCGGCGAUACCCGAAUGGGGAAACCCAGUGUGACUCGUCACACUAUCAUUAACUGAAUCCAUAGGUUAAUGAGGCGAACCGGGGGAACUGAAACAUCUAAGUACCCCGAGGAAAAGAAAUCAACCGAGAUUCCCCCAGUAGCGGCGAGCGAACGGGGAGGAGCCCAGAGCCUGAAUCAGCAUGUGUGUUAGUGGAAGCGUCUGGAAAGGCGCGCGAUACAGGGUGACAGCCCCGUACACAAAAGCGCAUGUGCUGUGAGCUCGAUGAGUAGGGCGGGACACGUGGUAUCCUGUCUGAAUAUGGGGGGACCAUCCUCCAAGGCUAAAUACUCCUGACUGACCGAUAGUGAACCAGUACCGUGAGGGAAAGGCGAAAAGAACCCCGGCGAGGGGAGUGAAAAAGAACCUGAAACCGUGUACGUACAAGCAGUGGGAGCACCCUUUGGGUGUGAC
rnacentral:rRNA from 1 species